AAAAGUGAAAGACGGUCUUGCUGUCACUUAUAGAUGGAUCCGCGCUGCAUUAGCUAGUUGGUAAGGUAACGGCUUACCAAGGCAACGAUGCAUAGCCGACCUGAGAGGGUGAUCGGCCACACUGGAACUGAGACACGGUCCAGACUCCUACGGGAGGCAGCAGUAGGGAAUCUUCCGCAAUGGGCGAAAGCCUGACGGAGCAACGCCGCGUGAGUGAUGAAGGUCUUCGGAUCGUAAAACUCUGUUAUUAGGGAAGAACAUAUGUGUAAGUAACUGUGCACAUCUUGACGGUACCUAAUCAGAAAGCCACGGCUAACUACGUGCCAGCAGCCGCGGUAAUACGUAGGUGGCAAGCGUUAUCCGGAAUUAUUGGGCGUAAAGCGCGCGUAGGCGGUUUUUUAAGUCUGAUGUGAAAGCCCACGGCUCAACCGUGGAGGGUCAUUGGAAACUGGAAAACUUGAGUGCAGAAGAGGAAAGUGGAAUUCCAUGUGUAGCGGUGAAAUGCGCAGAGAUAUGGAGGAACACCAGUGGCGAAGGCGACUUUCUGGUCUGUAACUGACGCUGAUGUGCGAAAGCGUGGGGAUCAAACAGGAUUAGAUACCCUGGUAGUCCACGCCGUAAACGAUGA
rnacentral:rRNA from 1 species